CCUACGGGAGGCAGCAGUGAGGAAUAUUGGUCAAUGGCCGGAAGGCUGAACCAGCCAUGCCGCGUGAAGGUCAGUGCCCUAUGGGCGUUAAACUUCUUUUGUGCGGGAGCAAUAAUGGUCACGUGUGGCCAGACGAGAGUACCGUACGAAUAAGCAUCGGCUAACUCCGUGCCAGCAGCCGCGGUAAUACGGGGGAUGCAAGCGUUAUCCGGAUUUAUUGGGUUUAAAGGGUGCGUAGGCUGGGAGGUAAGUCAGCGGUGAAAUGCCCCCGCUCAACGGGGUGAAGUGUCAUUGAUACUGGCUGGCUGGAAUGCGGAUGCGGUGGGAGGAAUGUGUGGUGUAGCGGUGAAAUGCAUAGAUAUCACACAGAACACCGAUUGCGAAGGCAUCUCACGAAUCCGCGAUUGACGCUGAUGCACGAAAGCGUGGGUAUCAAACAGGAUUAGAUACCCGGGUAGUC
rnacentral:rRNA from 1 species